CCUACGGGAGGCUGCAGUGGGGGAUAUUGCACAAUGGGGGGAACCCUGAUGCAGCGACGCCGCGUGGGUGAAGAAGCGCCUCGGCGCGUAAAGCCCUGUCAGCAGGGAAGAAAAUGACGGUACCUGAAGAAGAAGCCCCGGCUAACUACGUGCCAGCAGCCGCGGUAAUACGUAGGGGGCAAGCGUUAUCCGGAUUUACUGGGUGGAAAGGGGGCGCAGACGGCGGUGCAAGCCAGGAGUGAAAGCCCGGGGCCCAGCCCCGGGACUGCUCUUGGAACUGCGUGGCUGGAGUGCAGGAGGGGCAGGCGGAAUUCCUGGUGUAGCGGUGAAAUGCGUAGAUAUCAGGAGGAACACCGGUGGCGAAGGCGGCCUGCUGGACUGCAACUGACGUUGAGGCCCGAAAGCGUGGGGAGCAAACAGGAUUAGAUACCCUUGUAGUC
rnacentral:rRNA from 1 species